rnacentral:rRNA from 1 species
CCUACGGGUGGCAGCAGUGAGGAAUAUUGGUCAAUGGGCGUACGCCUGAACCAGCCAAGUCGCGUGAGGGAAGACUGCCCUAUGGGUUGUAAACCUCUUUUGUCAGGGAGCAACGCCGGCUACGUGUAGCCGGACUGAGAGUACCUGAAGAAAAAGCAUCGGCUAACUCCGUGCCAGCAGCCGCGGUAAUACGGAGGAUGCGAGCUUUAUCCGGAUUUAUUGGGUUUAAAGGGUGCGUAGGCGGAAUGCCAAGUCAGCGGUAAAAUCGCGGGGCUCAACCUCGCUCCGCCGUUGAAACUGGCGUGCUUGAGUGGGCGAGAAGUAGGCGGAAUGCGUGGUGUAGCGGUGAAAUGCAUAGAUAUCACGCAGAACUCCGAUUGCGAAGGCAGCAUACCGGCGCCCAACUGACGCUGAAGCACGAAAGCGUGGGUAUCGAACAGGAUUAGAUACCCGAGUAGUC